rnacentral:rRNA from 1 species
UUUAAUAGCCGCAGUAUAUUAACUGUGCAAAGGUAGCAUAAUCAUUUGUCUUUUAAUUGAAGGCUUGUAUGAAUGGUCGGAUGAAGGGAUUACUUUCUUUAUAUUAAAUGUUGAAUUUAAUUUUUGAGUUAAAAAGCUUAAAUUUUUAAGGGGGACGAGAAGACCCUAUAGAAUUUUAUUUUAAUUGGUUAUUAAGGAGUUUGGAUAUUUAUCUAUUUAAUGAUCAAUUAAAAUUUUGUUGGGGUGACAAUGAGACUAAUUUAACUCUCAUAUUUUAAAUGUUUAAUGAUUUUUAUGUUAAAGAUCCUUCUUUGAGGAUAAUUAGAUUAAAUUACCUUAGGGAUAACAGCGUUAUUUUUUCGGAGAGUUCUUAUUGAUGAAAAAGUUUGCGACCUCGAUGUUGGAUUAAAAUAAGAUUUAAGUGCAGAAGCUUAAUUUCUAGGUCUGUUCGACCUUUAAAUUUUUACAUGAUCUGAGUUCAAACCG